UGGUGUGGCUGGUGCACAUUCUUUCCUAA
rnacentral:piRNA from 1 species